rnacentral:rRNA from 1 species
UACGGGGGGGGUAAGCGUUGUUCGGAAUUACUGGGCGUAAAGGGCGCGUAGGCGGACAGUUAAGUCAGAGGUGAAAGCCCAGGGCUCAACCCUGGAAUAGCCUUUGAUACUGGCUGUCUUGAGUGCGGGAGAGGUGUGUGGAACUCCGAGUGUAGAGGUGAAAUUCGUAGAUAUUCGGAAGAACACCAGUGGCGAAGGCGACACACUGGCCCGUAACUGACGCUGAGGCGCGAAAGCGUGGGGAGCAAACAGG